rnacentral:tRNA from 1 species
GCGUUGCUAGUAUAGUGGUCAGUAUACGCCAAUGUUGCAGGACAAUAUGGGUAAAACAGGUUGCCAACUUGGUGACCCGGGUUCGAUUCCCGGGCGACGCA